AGAGUUUGAUCCUGGCUCAGAACGAACGCUGGCGGCAUGGAUUAGGCAUGCAAGUCGAACGCUUGUAGCAAUACAGGAGUGGCGAAAGGGUGAGGAACACGUGAGCAACCUGCCCUCAAGUUGGGAAUAACCCCGCGAAAGCGGGGCUAAUACCGAAUGUGGCUGUAUAACCGCAUGGUUUAACAGCUAAAGAUUUAUUGCUUGAGGAGGGGCUCGCGUCCCAUUAGCUAGUUGGUGAGGUAACGGCCCACCAAGGCGACGAUGGGUAGCUGGUCUGAGAGGAUGGCCAGCCACACUGGGACUGAGACACUGCCCAGACUCCUACGGGAGGCUGCAGUCGAGAAUCUUGGGCAAUGCGCGAAAGCGUGACCCAGCAAUGCCGCGUGCAGGAUGAAGGCCUUCGGGUUGUAAACUGCUGUCACCCGGGACGAAGAAUUGACGGUACCGGGAGAGGAAGCCACGGCUAACUACGUGCCAGCAGCCGCGGUAAUACGUAGGUGGCGAGCGUUGUUCGGAUUUAUUGGGCGUAAAGGGUCUG
rnacentral:rRNA from 1 species